rnacentral:tRNA from 1 species
AUAAAAUUAAGUUAGUGAGACUAAAUGUUUUCAAAACAUUCAGCGGUGUUAUGCCAUUUUAUG